AUGUAUUUCAUGAACGUCUGUUUGAAAUAAACUUCUCUUUAUCUGUUCUUAUCAGCUUAAUAUCUGAUACGGCCCUAUUAUGGGUCUUUCGAUAUUAAAUGAAUUUUUGUAAGGCGGCGCCGAGUGCGGGGCUUGCCCCACCGGCGCCACGGGUCGCCCCGGCAUUGCACUGCCGUCGGGUGGGGCCCACUUGCG